UACGGGGGGGGCAAGCGUUGUUCGGAAUUACUGGGCGUAAAGGGCUCGUAGGUGGCCAACUAAGUCAGACGUGAAAUCCCUCAGCUUAACUGGGGAACUGCGUCUGAUACUGGAUGGCUUGAGUUUGGGAGAGGGAUGCGGAAUUCCAGGUGUAGCGGUGAAAUGCGUAGAUAUCUGGAGGAACACCGGUGGCGAAGGCGGCUAACUGGUCCAGCACUGACGCUGAGGUGCGAAAGCGUGGGGAGCAAACAGG
rnacentral:rRNA from 1 species